rnacentral:rRNA from 1 species
GAUGAACGCUGGCGGCGUGCCUAAUACAUGCAAGUCGAGCGAACGGACGAGAAGCUUGCUUCUCUGAUGUUAGCGGCGGACGGGUGAGUAACACGUGGAUAACCUACCUAUAAGACUGGGAUAACUUCGGGAAACCGGAGCUAAUACCGGAUGAUAUUUUGAACCGCAUGGUUCAAAAGUGAAAGACGGUCUUGCCGUCACUUAUAGAUGGAUCCGCGCUGCAUUAGCUAGUUGGUAAGGUAACGGCUUACCAAGGCAACGAUGCAUAGCCGACCUGAGAGGGUGAUCGGCCACACUGGAACUGAGACACGGUCCAGACUCCUACGGGAGGCAGCAGUAGGGAAUCUUCCGCAAUGGGCGAAAGCCUGACGGAGGAACGCCGCGUGAGUGAUGAAGGUCUUCGGAUCGUAAAACUCUGUUAUUAGGGAAGAACAUAUGUGUAAGUAACUGUGCACAUCUUGACGGUACCUAAUCAGAAAGCCACGGCUAACUACGUG